rnacentral:rRNA from 1 species
GAUGAACGCUGGCGGCGUGCCUAAUACAUGCCAGUCGAGCGAACAGACGAGGAGCUUGCUCCUCUGACGUUAGCGGCGGACGGAUGAGUAACACGUGGAUAACCUACCUAUAAGACUGGGAUAACUUCGGGAAACCGGAGCUAAUACCGGAUAAUAUGUUGAACCGCAUGGUUCAACAGUGAAAGACGGUCUUGCUGUCACUUAUAGAUGGAUCCGCGCCGCAUUAGCUAGUUGGUAAGGUAACGGCUUACCAAGGCAACGAUGCGUAGCCGACCUGAGAGGGGGAGCGGCCACACUGGAACUGUGAAACGGGCCAGACUCCUACGGGAGGCAGCAGUAGGGAAUCUUCCGCAAUGGGCGAAAACCUGACGGAGCAACGCCGCGUGAGUGAAGUAGGUCUUCGGAUCGUAAAACUCUGUUAUUAGGGAAGAACAAAUGUGUAAGUAAAUAUGCACGUCUUGACGGUACCUAAUAAGAAAGCCACGGCUAACUACGUG